rnacentral:rRNA from 1 species
AACGAACGCUGGCGGCAGGCCUAACACAUGCAAGUCGAACGCCCUAGCAAUAGGGAGUGGCAGACGGGUGAGUAACACGUGGGAACCUUUCCAUUGGUACGGAAUAGCCCAGGGAAACUUGGAGUAAUACCGUAUACGCCCUUCGGGGGAAAGAUUUAUGGCCAAUGGGUGGGCCCGAGUCGGAUUAGCUAGUUGGUGGGGUAACGGCUCACCAAGGCGACGAUCCGUAGCUGGUCUGAGAGGAUGAUCAGCCACACUGGGACUGAGACACGGCCCAGACUCCUACGGGAGGCAGCAGUGGGGAAUAUUGGACAAUGGGCGCAAGCCUGAUCCAGCCAUGCCGCGUGAGUGACGAAGGCCUUAGGGUUGUAAAGCUCUUUUGGCGGGGACGAUAAUGACGGUACCCGCAGAAUAAGCUCCGGCUAACUUCGUGCCAGCAGCCGCAGUAACAC